rnacentral:rRNA from 1 species
UACGGAGGGGGCUAGCGUUGUUCGGAAUUACUGGGCGUAAAGCGCACGUAGGCGGACUGUUAAGUCGGGGGUGAAAUCCCGGGGCUCAACCUCGGAACUGCCUUUGAUACUGCAAAUCUCGAGUCCGAUAGAGGUGGGUGGAAUUCCUAGUGUAGAGGUGAAAUUCGUAGAUAUUAGGAAGAACACCGGUGGCGAAGGCGGCCCACUGGAUCGGUACUGACGCUGAGGUGCGAAAGCGUGGGGAGCAAACAGG